rfam:Myotis brandtii contig271111, whole genome shotgun sequence.
GAUGGUUCUUGGAUGACACACCCUGGAAUCAGGCUCCCUCCUCUCUGGUUCUGGGAUGCAUCACCCAAGAACCACU